GACGGGAGCUUGCUCCCUUAGGUCAGCGGCGGACGGGUGAGUAACACGUGGGUAACCUGCCUGUAAGACUGGGAUAACUCCGGGAAACCGGGGCUAAUACCGGAUGCUUGAUUGAACCGCAUGGUUCAAUCAUAAAAGGUGGCUUUUAGCUACCACUUACAGAUGGACCCGCGGCGCAAUAGCUAGUUGGUGAGGUAACGGCUCACCAAGGCGACGAUGCGUAGCCGACCUGAGAGGGUGAUCGGCCACACUGGGACUGAGACACGGCCCAGACUCCUACGGGAGGCAGCAGUAGGGAAUCUUCCGCAAUGGACGAAAGUCUGACGGAGCAACGCCGCGUGAGUGAUGAAGGUUUUCGGAUCGUAAAACUCUGUUGUUAGGGAAGAACAAGUACCGUUCGAAUAGGGCGGCACCUUGACGGUACCUAACCAGAAAGCCACGGCUAACUACGUGCCAGCAGCCGCGGUAAUACGUAGGUGGCAAGCGUAGUCCGGAAUUAUUGGGCGUAAAGCGCGCGCAGGCGGUUUCUUAAGUCUGAUGUGAAAGCCCCCGGCUCAACCGGGGAGGGUCAUUGGAAACUGGGGAACUUGAGUGCAGAAGAGGAGAGUGGAAUUCCACGUGUAGCGGAGAAAUGCGUAGAGAUGUGGAGGAACACCAGUGGCGAAGGCGACUCUCUGGUCUGUAACUGACGCUGAGGCGCGAAAGCGUGGGGAGCGAACAGGAUUAGAUACCCUGGUAGUCCACGCCGUAAACGAUGAGUGCUAAGUGUUAGAGGGUUUCCGCCCUUUAGUGCUGCAGCAAACGCAUUAAGCACUCCGCCUGGGGAGUACGGUCGCAAGACUGAAACUCAAAGGAAUUGACGGGGGCCCGCACAAGCGGUGGAGCAUGUGGUUUAAUUCGAAGCAACGCGAAGAACCUUACCAGGUCUUGACAUCCUCUGACAACCCUAGAGAUAGGGCUUCCCCUUCGGGGGCAGAGUGACAGGUGGUGCAUGGUUGUCGUCAGCUCGUGUCCUGAGAUGUUGGGUUAAGUCCCGCAACGAGCGCAACCCUUGAUCUUAGUUGCCAGCAUUCAGUUGGGCACUCUAAGGUGACUGCCGGUGACAAACCGGAGGAAGGUGGGGAUGACGUCAAAUCAUCAUGCCCCUUAUGACCUGGGCUACCCCCGUGCUACAAUGGGCAGAACAAAGGGCAGCGAAACCCCGAGGCUAACCAAUCCCCAAAUCUGUUCCCAGUUC
rnacentral:rRNA from 1 species